UCGGGUCUUCAGGGCGGGGUGAGAUUCCCCACCGGCGGUAAACCACAUGGUGGCAAGCCUGCGAGCGCUCCGAUACGUCGGAGGUCAGCAGACCUGGUGUGAUUCCAGGGCCGACGGUCAUAGUCCGGAUGAAAGAAGAUGCGU
rfam:Pseudomonas sp. HPB0071 genomic scaffold aczIi-supercont1.1, whole genome shotgun sequence.